rnacentral:rRNA from 1 species
GAGAUGUUGGGUUAAGUCCCGCAACGAGCGUAACCCUUGUUUUUAGUUGCCUUUCGAGGAUAUUUAGAAAGACUGCCGAUUAUAAAUCGGAGGAAGGUAAGGACGACGUCAAGUCAUCAUGCCCCUUACGCGUAGGGCUACACACGUGCUACAAUGGCGUCCACAGAGGGCAGCGAAGCCGCAAGGUCGAGCAAAUCCCAAAAAAGACGCCUCAGUUCGGAUUGGAGUCUGCAACUCGACUCCAUGAAGCUGGAAUCGCUAGUAAUCGCGGAUCAGCAUGCCGCGGUGAAUACGUUCCCGGGCCUUGUACACACCGCCCGUCACACCACGAGAGUUGGUCGCGCCCGAAGCCGUGACCCCAACCGCAAGGAGGGGAGCGUCUACGGCGAGGUCGGCGAUUGGGGUGAAGUCGUAACAAGGUAGCCGUAGGGGAACCUGUGGCUGGAUCACCUCCUU